GGGGAUGAAUUUCUUCGACAGUUGGAUUAACAAGUUAAUGACGCGUGUCGUGCUCCUGAGCGUUAUCCGGGAAAACACAGUAAUUGCAAAACGCGAUUCACUAGUUGCUGAAGUAAAAAGCUUGUUCGCAAGUUCAUUUGCUCCAGUAGCAGUAGCUGCUUAAUUUAAGCCAGCAACAAACCGCUCGAGGCUUCAUAGAGUGAAUUUGUUUUAUAUUAUGAGGCCGCUUACUCUGACUUAUCAUUAGAGUACUAAGACUUGAUAUGCGCCCCUGUCCUUUUUUUGUUUAUUUUUACUGGGCCGGUGCAAAGAAACACACCUAAAUAAUCUACACACGUAGUGUCAUAACAAGUUACCGAUUGGACGUGGGUGCAAUACCCACCAUCUCCACCA
rnacentral:tmRNA from 1 species